rnacentral:tRNA from 1 species
GUAAGCGCACUGGAAAGUGUGCUUAGAUUAACAAAAAGUAGCUUAAAACAAAGCAUUCAACUUACAAUUG